rnacentral:rRNA from 1 species
UACGGAGGGUGCGAGCGUUAAUCGGAAUUACUGGGCGUAAAGCGCACGUAGGCUGUAUGUCAAGUCAAGGGUGAAAUCCCACGGCUCAACCGUGGAACUGCCUUUGAAACUGGCAAACUGGAGUAUGUGAGAGGGCGGCGGAAUUCCUGGUGUAGGAGUGAAAUCCGUAGAUAUCAGGAGGAACAUCAGUGGCGAAGGCGGCCGCCUGGCACAAAACUGACGCUGAGGUGCGAAAGCGUGGGUAGCAA